rnacentral:rRNA from 1 species
UGGGGAAUCUUGCACAAUGGAGGCAACUCUGAUGCAGCGACGCCGCGUGAGCGAUGAAGGUAUUCGUAUCGUAAAGCUCUGUCCUAUGGGAAGAUAAUGACGGUACCAUAGAAGAAAGCCCCGGCUAACUACGUGCCAGCAGCCGCGGUAAUACGUAGGGGGCAAGCGUUGUCCGGAAUUAUUGGGCGUAAAGGGUUCGUAGGCGGUUAUAUAUGUCAGGUGUGAAAUACUGCAGCUCAACUGUAGCAAGCAUCUGAAACUGUAUAACUUGAGUAAUAGAGAGGUGAGUGGAACUCCUAGUGUAGCGGUGAAAUGCGUAGAUAUUAGGAAGAAUACCAGUAGCGAAGGCGACUCACUGGCUAUUUACUGACGCUGAGGAACGAAAGCGUGGGUAGCAAAC